rnacentral:rRNA from 1 species
UACAGGGGGUGCGAGCGUUGUUCGGAAUUACUGGGCGUAAAGCGCGUGUAGGCGGUUUAUUAAGUCAGAUGUGAAAUCCCGGGGCCUAACUCCGGAAGUGCAUUUGAAACUGAUAAGCUGGAGUGAUGUAGAGGAUGGCGGAAUACCCAGUGUAGAGGUGAAAUUCGUAGAGAUUGGGUAGAACACCUGUGGCGAAGGCGGCCAUCUGGGCAUUAACUGACGCUGAGACGCGAAAGCGUGGGGAGCAAACAGG